UCAUCCCUUUCAUUAAAAUGAGGGAGGUAAUUUAAGAUCAAACACAGAGCUGAAAUAGCCUCUCACUGUUACCAAGAAGACCAUAGGGUGCCGAACCUGCAUUGAGUUUUACUAAUUAGCUCACCUGCCGCAGCUCACCUGCCAGGUGGUUUUCUUAAUUAGUUAAUUGGUUGCAUCUGGUGCGUUUCACUUAAAAGGGAACCGGACAGUACAUUGGUUUGUGUACUGUUUUGUUGUGACUUAUUUAACGUCUCUUCCAGUUUCCCAGGUUAAAGACUUUUUGAAGUAAAGAGGAGCAUCUCAUCUGAACCUGAUGUCUAUCAUGGAUAUUUAACUGCAGUUCUGUGAGUAUCCCAACUUAACCAUGAAGCAUAACUGCAAACUGUAAGUCAUUAAUUUCUCAUUACUCUUGGGCACAUUGAUGUAUUUUGGCUUCCUGGUGUGUGUGAACCUGUUACCUGAAGGUUGAUUUGAGUAUUGAGGAUGUUUUAUUGGUUCAUGGUUUACUUAGGUGUUUGGUUUAUGUUGGUUUUAAUGAUUUGUUAAAAUGGUUACAGGCUCCAAGUUAUUGUUGUAAGCUGGAGUAAUGGGUUGGGUUCUGAUAUCUUCAGUCUUCUUUCAUUCUACUCUCCUGAGCUCUGCAUCUUCAUCACAUGAGUGUUGGUUUACUGGGGAGGGUGUGGUCUGAGUGAGCAGAGGUGCAUACUGGGAUACAGAGCUGUUUGAAGUCUACAGGUCUGUAGACACGCCCCCUCAGGGGAAACCGAGUCUUUGAGAAACUGUCGUGACGUCAGUUACAUGGACUGGAAUGUUCUUAAAGAUGGAGACAGGGAUUCAGAAGGAGAAACACCAGGGGGAGAUGAGGGGGGCUCCUCAUCUCAACGACUAAAACACAACUUCAGUCUGACACAGAACCAUGGAACACAUUCAACAGUCCCCUCCAGGCAUCGUGACGCCUCAGGAACAGUUUCAUUUCCAAGAAGGUCUUAUUUGGGGCCAUCCCCAUAUGGAUCCUGCUCCUCAAGAGCCACCCCCCUCCAUUGGGUGGUCUUCUGAACAGAUGACCUCCUUCCUGUCCUCAGGCUGACUAAAGCUGCACCGUUUGCAUCUGUGAAGGCCCCUCAUUCAGGAAACCACGCAUAAUCCAUCACCAAUGUGGGACGCCACUGAAGAAUAUUGUACAUGAUUUACGUCUCUGGAGACAUUGGUUGUUAUGUUAUGGGUGCCCUUGCAGGAGAGCUGGGGGGGGGAUGAUGGAAUGUUAUUUGGCAUGAGGUUUUUACCCUGCAUGAUUGUUUGGCCUUUUAUGGCUCAGUGGUGUGUGUUUGGGUUUGACAUGAGAUGGAAGAUUUUUGAGCAUCGAUAGGGUUCUACUGUGUGUGUGUGUGUGUGUGUGUGUGUGUCUCCCACUCACACCUGGCAUGGGGUUCUACGUGCCUGUCCUGGGCUCUAUGUGUGUGUGUCCGGCUUGCUUUGACAGUGAUAAUGUUCAUAUGGGGGUCUGUGUGAUUGGAAUGGUCAACUAAAUCAUACCUGAUGGACGGCCACACGUUUACUUAAGAGCCUCCAGUAGACAUGAAGAGCCCUGAGCGACGCUCCGGAGCGAUAUCCAACACACUGGGCAGGAAGGAGAGUAUCCAACUCAAGUGUAAAAGGAUGCAAGCGGCAUGUUCAGAUCCGUGACUUCAAACUAGGACUUCACCAUCAGGAUCAAUGGAGGAUGGACACCAAAAGGAAUUCCACAAGGAGAGUCUGACGUUGGAAAGGGACCUAAAUGGAUAUUCAAGAUGACCUGUAAUGAGACGGCUCUUCCUACCUGGCUGGAUUGAUGGAGAGCCCUGUGGAUCUUGUCUCGCUCUCAGUUGGACGUCUACUCAGGCUGAACUGUAUUUGUUUCGGACAGGACUAGCUGAACGAUUGGUUCCCUUAAAUCAGAACCAAUCCGGGAACUCCAGCUAGUGCGCUCUUCGAGCUGAAGUUGUGCUCUUCAGCUGAGGAGGUAAGGAAACCUUCACUGGGGCUUCAAGGUGUAAAGAGGAGUGUUUCAAAGUGUUCCAUGGUACUCUGAUGAAGACCGUUGUUGUGUUCCACUGGCUGAGAGGAAGAACCCACACAUCUUCCUCUUGGCCUUUCUCCUCCGAGAAUCCUGGCGCCAUCUUGAAGGAUAUACCAGCUCAUGUAACUGAUGUCACGACAGAUUCUCAAACACUUGGUUUCUCCUGAGGGGCGUGUCUAUGGAACUGAAGACUUCAGACAGCACUGUAUCCCAGCAUGCAUCUCUGCUCACUCAGACCACAUCCCCAUGGGUAGGAUGCAACACUCUAGUGAUGGACAUGCAGAGUUUUAUAAGUAACGAGGGAGCAGACUAAGGUGAUUAGAACACAAUGGAAUGUCAAGUCUGUAAAUCUUUAAACCAUGAAGAUGGUUAGAUAGUUCAGGAAUUGGGCUUAUUUUUAUUAUGGCAGUCCUUUCACUCAGAUGCUCACUGGAGCUGUACAUGUGUUGGCUGGCAUGAUUUGCUGUUGGUGAUGAGGCGGUCAGGGUGACGUUGAAGGGCUAUGGUUGGCUCUCUGUGAGCUCAACGUUUAGAUUUGCUCUGUAUGGUUUGUACCCUGAAUAAUCUAGAUAAUUGUAAAAUGUAGACACGGUUUUGUAUUGAAUGAUUUUAGGUUUAAAGUUGUUGUGGGACGUACAUGGUAGUUUGGUCCUUCGUAUGGUUUUGAAUGAUAUAACUUGUACACACUGGGUGCAUAAUAAUGUAAAGGUACACUGAAUAGUAGUAAUGUCCAACAGCAACAAACAGAUCUCCUCAAGGUAAGUCUGUUGGCUGUGUUUUAAUGAGGACCAUCGCUGGACUUCAGGAUCUUCCUCCGUUCAGCUCAAGGUGAGGCGCUGGUUCUGUUUUUUCUUUGGUUGGUUCCGGCCGGAAUGUUCGGAUUCCAGUCGGACGGUUUGUGCUUCCCGCCGUGGAAGGUUCUGAGUGCGGUCACUUGAUUUAGUCCCAAUGGUUAGCAUAGAACGUUGUAGUCUUAACAACCAUAAGAAACCACCUGGCAGUUAGUUGGACGGGCAUCUGGCGGAACGUUCUGGGUUGUAUUUGCGUAACCUCGAGCCGUUGCCAACGGAAACAAUUUUUUCAGUCGGUUCCCAUUGGGAAUUGUUGCCCCUAUCUUAAACAACUUAAGUUUUGAUGUUACUAAUACAUACUGACACGUACGUCUUACAAUAUGUUAAUUUCCGAUCGUUGCGCCGUACUUUUAACCACGAUGACGUGACGGGACUCUCGCUGCGUACAAAACAGCGUUCUACUUGCGGGCCCAUUUUUGACAUCAGGAAAGGCUGAAAAUCAUUUCAAGGUGGAAGAUAAUUUGACAUUUCUUCAACGGAACCCAGCACCUGAAUAUGGCUGAGUAUAUUUGAUUUAAUAUCGAUACUGCUUAGUGUUCUUUGUUACUUCAGCUUUUGUACGUUCUAAAUAUCUGCUGUCAUUAAUUGCCACAGAAGUUAAACCCUACCCAAUGGAAUGACGUUAAACAACGACUUUGGUGCAGAGUUACCAACUGGAUAAUAUCAAAGCUAAAAUGAUGGCCGUCAUUCCCACAUGUUACAGUAGAAGAUACUCUAGAACUGUACAAGGUUAAAAAGGUAACAUGUAGUUUGUCCCAAGGUGUCUGCCUCCUCACCCAGAGCAAGACCUCCACCUCCUCACCCAGAGCCAGGACUCCACCUCCUCACCCAGAGCCAGACCUCCACCUCCUGUCAGAAGUCCUCCAAAACAGCUGAAAGGCGAGGCUGAGAGGCUGGGGACCGGAGGCUUGUGGUGCCAGGGUGGACCGGAGACUGAGGCUGGAGACCAGGGGCCUGCAGCACCGGACCAGAGGACCGGGAAUCCAUGGCUGAAGGAGCUGAUGGAGGAGCCGUGCUGAUGGAGGAGCCCUGGUGGAGGCCCUGCCUGGUGAAGGACGUCUGUCGUGGGGUUGAUGGAGCUUGACUCUGAAACCAGGACUCUGUCUGAGGAGAGCUGCUGGAGGAGGUGAGAUGCUGGAGGACGACUAGGAAUCGACCAACAAGGAUUCCUCAACGUGUUUCUGGAGCGGAGGCGAGCUGGUAGGGGAGCCGUGAAUCUGGAGGAUGACCAUCACUCUACCAACAAGGAUUACUUUAGGGCCAGACUCGCGCUGUUUGUUCCAGACCAGGACUCUGGCUGAGGAGAGCUGAUGGAGGAGCCAAGGCUCUGGAGGACGACAUCACUCCACCAACCAGGAUCCUUACCAGGAAUCUGGAGGACUGAUGGAGAAGGUGGAAGGCAAAUCCUGAGGACCACCAGGACUCUACCAUCAAGGAUUCCUCAUAAGUUUGCAUUAUCUGGACAUAGUGGACUAGACACACCUGAGCUGAACCCGCCCUGAUCCUGACAUCAUGCUGGUCCCGUCUCCUCAGUUCAUCUGAGCCUCGUCCUCCAGAAGACCUGCUGAGCUCAGCAGUCUGAGGCUGAUGGAUCAAUGACCUCCAGUGGGAGUGAUCUUCCUGACCCCACAUGUAACCGUGUGCUUCCACACGCCUUUCCCUCACGUCUGUCACUAACCUCACUACUUCACUACUCUCUACUGCUUCCUCUUUUCUUCCUUCUCUGUGGUUCGAACCUUUACACGGAAGGCGCGUCUUCCUGCCCUCAGAGGGUUCAGCGUUAGGGUUGAGAGUCAGGGUUUAGAGUCAGGGACAGAGCUGGUCAGGGAGGACUGCUUUUACGCAAACCUCUUCACUUGCUUUCGGAAUGGUGGUGACAUUUUGAAAAGUUUCAUUUGGGAAAAUGUUUUCCUCUGCUUUCCUUUACAAAAUUGUAAUAAACUUCUGUCAAGUGUUUUUGUGUGUAUAUAUUAAAAUCCCACAUUGACUUCUA
ensembl:lncRNA